rnacentral:rRNA from 1 species
AUGAAGGAUAUGUCAUAUGUUCAGUUCCUUACAUUUUUCUAUGGUGUAUGUACACUGCAUUCGAGGGAGAGGACGGCAAGAGUAAGAAAGCCUUGCGGCAUGAAGGCAGUAGCACGCAGGGCCAAAUCAAGUGCAUUGACCUCAAUGGCAAGAGACCAGUACCGUCAGGUUCGCUUGACUGCUUGCUAGGUUUCAUGCCUUAUUCCUUUUCAUAUAGGAAAUAUAAAGUGCACAUAUAGAAGAGCCCAUAUUGGGCAUCCUUUUCUUUUUAGUUUUUGGAAUCCUUGGAAAGGGUGUUAUAUAUUUUCAUAAUUCUUACCACUUAUUUAUCUUUUUUAGCAGCAUAGAUUUAAAUGUAGUAACAAGUGUUUAUGCUUUGCAGCCCGGCAUCAAACAAUACCCUUAACAAAGCUACACAAUGGAUGCUAUUUGUCAUAUUUUGACCUAUGAAUCUGUUUGAAUAGAUUAUACAGGAUUGAUGUGGUUAUCAGAUGAUUGCAGUCUACCCUAGGAUUUGCAGAGAUCAAUGAGGAUUCGGGCGGCAUGAAGGGGACUGGUGAUAGGAAACAUGGAUCCAAGAAGAAAUCAAACAACAUGGUGAGUUGUUCUCCCUUUUCAAAUUUGAAACCUAGACUAGAGUCGGUCAAUUGUAAUUUAGUAACAUGAUUAGGAUAGUAUAAUAUUUUGCUACUACCUUGCUGAUAGUUUUGCAGGGUAAUUCUGUCGGCUAUAUAUGUGUUUAUUUUUUAUUGUAGUGAGAUCACUUAUUUUUAUUUAGAAAAUAGAAACCUGAAGUGUGGCUAUAAGAAUCUAAUAGCAGAUGUUCUUCGCAUGAACAAGCUGUGUAAUGUACCUACUGACUAAUAGCAUAAUCAUGACUUGGCUUGCCCGGUUUUACUCUGCGAAGAGUAGUAUGUGGUGCUCUAAUAUUCAACUGUGUUCUUGAAUUGGGAAUUAUGUUUUUAUAAAGUGCUUGUGUGUUGGUCUGAUGUAUAUAAGUUAAAGAAAAUAAAAAACAGAUGGAGGAAGGGAACUUCUUGCUUUUCUUUUCCUUUUGUUUCUCUGUUUGAUAAUUACUCCCUACGAUGAGAAGGUUUACGAAUAGAAAUGUCCUACUCUUUGAUCCCUUUUAGUGUGAGCGGCUCGACGGCAAGCAUGACCGUCUGCUCCAUGCUUUAUUGGUUGUGUCUUUGGCUCCGUGUGCGUUGCGCCACAUACGUGUUUGUUGCUUGCGUGCUGCUGCUGUGUGUAUGGUGUGUUGGCUUGAUGUGUGUGUGGGCGCGCGCACGCACUAGCUAGGUGAGGAUCACUGGCUCACUGCUCUCUCUAUGUACUCCCUCCAUUCCAAAAUAGAUGACUCAACUUUGUACUAACUUUAAUACAAAGUUGAGUUAUCUAUUUUGGAACGGAGGGAGUAGCUUCUUAGGAGGAAAAAUACUUUGCCGCUGGUCUGCAUCAUGCUUCUAGCAUCUUUCCAGGCAGGUAGAUGUUUCCAAGAUCAAGAGAGAAAAGGUCCUUGCAUGCAUAUACUUUUAGAUGACACAUGACCAGAAGUCUUUCCUAUUAAAAUCAUGUGGCCUUGUGACACCCCGACCCUUUUCUUCAGAAAUUUGUAAUGUGUUUACGCAUGUCUGUUGUGAUGUGCAUAGGAGCAUGAUUUGUUCUGGCACUUUAGGCAUUAGCACACCUAUAAUACAGGUGGCGCGCGUGUGUGUUUGAAGUGUCAGUGCUUGUGUGUAGGAAGUCUAAUAGGGUGGGUUUCGAUUUCUUUUGACUUUCUGAUCAGCCCAAUUGGCCUGGGCUGCGUGUAAGCUUUGUCCUGACGAGGAAGCUGACUGUGCAUCAUCAGUUUAACACCAUCAGCUGGAUCUUUGAAGCCAUCCAACGCUCAACUUUAGUGACUGGUGUAGCGACCCAGGAUUUUAUCCUAAACUGCUAUUAAACUCACAAGAGGGAGCAUUUUAAUAACAAAAGAACUCUACCAUGCUUUCUGAUAUAUACUCCUGCGUAUAUAUAUGUUGUACUAGAAGUUCCUAUGUUUUAACUAUUGCGUACCAGAAAAUUGAAUUGGCAAUGUCUGCAUAGAUAUGAUGUAUUAAAU